rnacentral:rRNA from 1 species
AUUGAACGCUGGCGGCAGGCUUAACACAUGCAAGUCGAGCGAGCGGCGGACGGGUGAGUAAUGUCUGGGAAACUGCCUGAUGGAGGGGGAUAACUACUGGAAACGGUAGCUAAUACCGCAUACCAUCAGAUGUGCCCAGAUGGGAUUUGCUAGUAGGUGGGGUAAUGGCUCACCUAGGCGACGAUCCCUAGCUGGUCUGAGAGGAUGACCAGCAACACUGGAACUGGGAAACGGUCCAGACGCCAACGGGAGGCAGCAGUGGGGAAUAUUGCACAAUGGGCGCAAGCCUGAUGCAGCCAUGCCGCGUGUGUGAGGAAGGCCUUGGGGUUGUAAAGCACGUUCAGCGAGGAGGCGGUACUCACAGAGGAAGCACCGGCUAACUCCGUGCCAGCAGCCGCGGUAAUAC